GGGGGCUGGGGAGGGGUGGUAGCAUUGUUUGUUAUUAUGAGAUGGGUUCAUCAUAUUUAUUCACAUAUUUCAUUAAUAGACAUGCUGUUAACAAAGAACAGUACUGCUAUUUCCAUCUGUAUGUUUUCCCAGUACAAGCCUAUCUCUCAUCGUAAUUUAUAACAGCACAUAGCUACAAGGACUGUGUUAUAAACUUUGGGAAACAUGUUUUAUUUAAAUAAGGUGUUAUAAUUUUUGGUUUUACAUAUUCAUCAAUUGUAAAAAUGCAUUGGUAUUUAAAUUGAUUUAGUUUUUAAAAUUCCCUCAAAUUAUUCAAAAUGGCGGCUCUUGAGACCGGAAAUGCCCAGUUUUGAUGAUCGGUUAAUAAACUAACAGGUUGUAAGGAAAGAAAAUAUUACUAAAAUUUGUUUCAAUUAAAUGCAGAAUUCUUAAGAUAAUAUUAAGUAAAUAAUAUUGUUUUUUAACCAAAAUAAAUUUUAAAGAUUUAUCCCGGUAUUAAUCGUGGCUGUAUCGUGAUUGGCCAAAAUUUCAAACUUUGACUUUCGUGAAUUCUGAUUGGACAAUUGCCAUUCCGCCAUCAAAUUUUGAAAUGGGCAAAGAAGACAGGAGUUGUUGUGAAGAUUUUCCUGAUUUUUUCAAGAAAUAUGCAGAAUCACAGCGUGUUGUAUGUAGUAAUGAAACUGCAAGCAGUGGUUUCAUAAAGAUAGACAUGCUUAAGACCUGGAUGAUAUGGCUUUAGUUGUGGAUGACCAUUUCCAUUCAGGAAAAAAUCCCAACCAAGUCCAGCUAGCAGACUGUACACCAGAUUGAAGAUACAUCAUUAAUACAAGAUGAAAAAAAUUAAUGGAGGACGAGGAUAAUACUAUGAAAGAGAUCAUAUGCAAGAGCAACCGUUCCCAUAGAAAUACAUGGAGCCAUGUAAACAGAAACCAGUUUUCACCUGCCAGGUGCUGGUCACAUAUAUAUUCAACUUGGAAGUUCAACAGAUUAAAGAAACAGAUCCAGUUGUUUGCUGAUAAAUUACUGCAGGUCAUUGGUAUCAUCUAGAACCAGGACUGUUUUAAAAAUCAUACUAGUAUGUUUGGAACAAAAUCAUGCUAGUAUAUGUUAGGAAUUUAACCUAAAACAUGCUUUAAUUAUAAAGGUUUUGGUCAAAUUUUGGUUUACAAAAUAAUGUUUUUCAAACUUUCUAUUCAAAUUUAGCAAGAACAUUAGACACACAUGUAAUCCCAAAUGCUUUUAUGUUAGAUUAUUGCUUUAUUUAAAAAACUUGCAUAUAGGGUCUGUAAUGAUUUGAGAUAAUUAUGUAAACACUAAAAUGCUUUUUUGGUGACAUAUGCGGGAUAUGAAUGUAGCGACAUUGCAGAAAAAAUACAUUACCCGCAUUAGCGAGUUAUGUAAAUUUUUUCUGCAAUCAUUGCUCCCUUCACUACCUGCAUGAAUCGUCAAAGAAAGUUAUAUUGUUUAUAUUUACAUCCUUCUUUUAACAAAUUGUUUGUAAAGAGUAAGUUAAAUUUACUAUAUUAUUUUUAAUGUGCAUCAGUACGUUAGCUAAAAGAAACAGCCAAAUUGUCUUCAAUGGGAAUGUGAGUCUGCAUUGAUAUCCUGAUUAUUUCAAUGAUUUUUCUAAGGUCAUUAUAGGUUUCGACCAAUCGUUAAACAAGGCGUUAACUAUAAGUUUCCAUAAGAAAUGGAGGAAAGCAUACUCAUUAGAUGUAAAUAUAAUUCAGUAAACAUAUUGAUUAACAUAAACAUUGACUUGUGUUCUUCUGCUCACAUGAACAGAUAUGAUUUUAAAUUCCUAUUCAAGAGCAAAAACAAUUUGAUGAAAAAUUCAUGUCAACAUUAGGGACUUUUUUUUCAUCAGUAUAACACCUGUACAUGUACCUGGGGUUUUUUUUUAUCUGAAGUUUAUGAUACAGAUAGAUAUUUUUUGCCUACAUCUGUAAUUUUUCUGUGUAACUUUUCUGUACCUAAAUGAUAACUUUUUUGUAUCUACAUCUAUAACUUUUCUGUACCUAAACAAUAACUUUUCUGUAACUUUAUGUAUAACUUUUCUGUACCUACAUCUAUAACUUUUCUGUACCUAAAUGAUAACUUUUCUGUAACUAUAUGUAUAACUUUUCUGUACCUACAUCUAUAACUUUUCUGUACCUAAAUGAUAACUUUUCUGUAACUAUAUGUAUAACUUUUCUGUACCUACAUCUAUAACUUUUCUGUACCUAAAUGAUAACUUUUCUGUAACUAUAUGUAUAACUUUUCUGUACCUACGUCUAUAACUUUUCUGUACCUAAAUGAUAACUUUUCUGUAACUAUACGUAUAACUUUUCUGUACCUAAAUGAUAACUUUUCUGUAACUAUAUGUAUAACUUUUCUGUACCUACAUCUAUAACUUUUCUGUACCUAAAUGAUAACUUUUCUAUACCUAUAUGUAUAACUUUUUUGUACCUAAAUGAUAACUUUUCUGUAACUUUAAUUUGUAACUUUUUUGUACCUAAAUGAUAACUUUAUUAUAACUUUUUGAUAACUUUUUUAUACCUAUUUAUUUUUAUGAAAAAAAUAAAUUGUCAAUAGUUACACUCUAGUUAUGACUUUUUUGUACUUAAGCAAAAAGUUACAAUAUAGGUAUAACUUUUUGAUGCUAAUUUGGAACCAUAAUUGAUCAGAUGGUUCCAAAUUGUGCUAACUUAGUUAUGACUUUUUUGUAACUUUUUUAAGGGCUCAUAGGUAUAACUUUUUAGUGCUUU